AUUGAACGCUGGCGGCAGGCCUAACACAUGCAAGUCGAACGAGUGGCGGACGGGUGAGUAAUGUCUGGGAAACUGCCCGAUGGAGGGGGAUAACUACUGGAAACGGUAGCUAAUACCGCAUACCAUCGGAUGUGCCUCGAUGGGAUUGGCUAGUAGGUGGGGUAACGGCUCACCUAGGCGACGAUCCCUAGCUGAUCUGAGAGGAUGACCAUCCACACUGGAACUGGGACACGGGCCAGACUCCUACGGGAUGCAGCAGUGGGGAAUAUUGCACCAUGGGCGAAAGCCUGAUGCAGCCAUGCCGCGUGUAUGAAGAAGGCCUUCGGGUUGUAAAGUACUUUCAGCGAGGAGGCGUUACUCGCAGAAGAAGCACCGGCUAACUACGUGCCAGCAGCCGCGGUAAUAC
rnacentral:rRNA from 1 species